AUGGCAGGGCGGAGGUGGCUCCUCUGGCCGAGAGGGACCACGGUGGAGCAAUUCAAGGAGUGGCUGAAGCAGUUCGACGUGGACGGCGACGGCCGGAUCAGCAAGGCGGAGCUCCGCCAGGCCAUCCGCCGCCGGGGCUGCUGGUUCGCCACCCUCAGGGCUGGGCGAGCCCUCCGCCACGCCGACAGGGACUUCGCGCAGAAAGCCCUAGGCAUGAAGAUCUCUGCCUGGAGAAUCGAUAAAGCUUUGCUACUGUGCAGUUGGUUAAUUCUGUGUGUAUGUAUGUGUGCUUGUUAUAUAUACUUAAGAUAA
rnacentral:rRNA from 1 species